AGUGUGGGUCCAUUGUACUGUACUCACAUUAUCAAGUACAGUGCAACAGACCUGCGGACAGAUAGGAACACACUGCAUCUUAAAGCACUACCAUGCUGUGAGCUUGUGUCAGGGAGAGGCCAUCGGACACGGAGAGGCAGACGCCACUGCAUGAGACUCAGACCUUAUGCCCCACGAUAACCUGUAGGGUGCCUAUAAAUGCCUACUCACAUCUGGUCCAUUCCUGACCCGCA